GUGGUGAACUGGAUCCAUGACAAAGGACUUGAGAACUUGGAAUGCCCUUCAAAGGCCUCAGUGUUGAAGGUAAAGUCCCCAGUUUUGAGCUACUUGGAGCCGGUAUCAGCUUUAAGAGGCUUUUCCCACCUAAUGAAUCUGAGCCUUUGCGAGCGCUGUGUGAUUGACAGAGCCACAGACUGACAGCUUCAAGUUUCUUCGAAGACUAGGGUUUAUGGCAGCCUUUUUGGGCCCAGAAAUGUGAAUUUUUUUCACAUGCCAGGACGAUACCACUGCACAUUGGUUAGGAGACGCAAACGCUAAAAUUAAAGAUGAAGAUCUUCUCUUCUGCAGCACAGGUGAUGAUGGGCAUGUUGGGAAGAUACACAGCUCUCACCACCAUGAGGAAAAGCUGCAUUUGGAUUACUUAAGGGCUAUGCCUUAUAGACAUUCCCACCCCACCCCGUGAGUGUGUGUUUUGUUUUACAUAAACAGACUUCCGCCCAAACUA